UUCAUCAAGUACUUGAUUUGUGGCCUUGACUAACCUUUAUAAUCAGAACUUUCAUCAUAAUCUGCCAUAGCUUUCAUUAAAAUUUUCUCAAAAGCCAUUGCUUUUACUUUUUCUCUACAGUGGCUAUAAAUCAACAGCAAUUAUCCACCAUCAUCAUUUGCAUCCACAUUAACGUGAACCUGUGGCUUUCUCUUUUUGUCGUUUAUUUUUGCAUUAGUAGAUAUUAAAAUUGACUCUAAUGUUGAAUUUAUGGUGGAAUGCAAUCAUAUGCAAAAUCAAUUCGUAAUCAAGGAAAAAUAGUUAUGGGUUAUCAACCUACCAUUGUGCUUUUCUUUUAGUUUAUCAUCUCCAAUUUCUGAAGUCUAUUUUAGCCAACAGAAGUAGCAUCAUGAAAAAUGAAUUUGAAAAAUUGCAUUUUUAUAAGUUCUUCUCCAUCAUUGAAUCCCACUGUUUGCUCAAGAAAGUAAGGGAAGAAAGUUGAUGGUGGAAGUGCUAUAUGCCUGUUGGGGUUUACAUUAAAGCAUUCUUUAUAAGUAUAUUAUGCAGUUUUUUGUGUUUAUGCCAAUUAGAUUGCAGCAAGAGUCCUAUGUUAUUUGCAUUGCAUUCUGAUCCAUGGUUUCUUCAAUUACAUUGCUAUUCUAUGUUUUACAAGUUGGAGUUUGAUUUAGCCAUGAAAAGUAAUGAUUUGAAAAGAGCUCUACAAUGUCUUCUUACAAUGAGCAACAGCAAGGACAUAGGAUAGGAUAAUCCCAAGCUUGAUUUGAAUGAUAUCCUUAAUUUGAUAGCUAAAAAGGAAAAUCUGGUUGAGGCUGUUCAAGGAACAGUAAAAUUUGUGAAGGAGUUUUUGGACCUUGUUGAUGUAGCUGAUGCUACGCCCAGGCUGACAUUGCUUGUGAAGCUCUUAAAAGGUUAGCUACUGCAGGUUCAGUGAAAGGAGCUUUACGAGGUCAUGAGUUAAGAGGACUGCUCUUCGCCUUGUUAAUCAUGGAGAGUUGACACACCUGAGUGUUUAGUAAAUAACUUGAUCUCGUUUGGAUUGGGACGUGAAGCAGCAUUUUCAGCUGUAGUGUUGGGAGACAAUGCUCUUAUGGAGAAAGCAUGGCAGGUUACUGGAAUGCUUUCCGAGGCUAUGUUACACGCACAUGCUCCUGGGCGACCAACGUUAAAGAACUUGGUUGAGGCUUGGAACGGAGUUACAGGAAGAGGUGGAGCCCACACCAUCGGCAAAGACAGAUGCUAUAACUGCAUUUUUGGCUUCUCUCAAGGAACCCAAACUUUAGAGUUUGUCAAAGGCAGGGAAGAAACCACCGAUUGAAAUCUUUCCUGUUGGGAUGGCAACACUUUCUGCUUCAAUUACCAUUAAGAAAAAACCUGCUCCUGCAACACAGACUUUGCUGCAACAACCAGGCAAAACAUUGGCAUUAGAAGCACCACCUCCUGGUGGACCAACUGAAGCACUAAUAGGUGCCGCCCAGUGCUUCAGUCGCAGCACCAGGCACACCAAUAGAAGCAUCACCUCCUGAUGCACCAACCGCAACACUAGGCACACUGAUAGGAGCACCACCUCCUGGUGCACCAGUUGCCGUAGUAAUAGGUGCAUCACCACCUACAUCUAAAGCAACUGAACCUACUUCAGAUGAUAAAGCUCUUAAUUCAUCAUUAGGGAGCAUUCCAGAUAUGAUUGUUUCAACAGAAAGUAAUCUGGCAACAUCUAUCGGUGACACACUAGCACCAUAUGCAACUUUGGCAGAUAAGGUGGAUAUAUCAUCUGUGAUAUCAGAUAACCAGGAAACAAGUGUUCCGACUAUAUUGCCAACAAGUGAACCACUUUUUUGAGUCUGCUGGGACUAGCACAUAAUGAGUUAAUAGUGAUUCGUUUGAUUCCAAAGAACUGUAAUUCAAUUUCAUUUGUAGCAAGAGUCAUUUUGCGAAGGCAUCGGUGUGAAUAUAUUUGAUUUUUUUGGAUUUUGGAUCAGGGAGAUGGAAUACUUUUUAGUGGAUUUAGCAUUCAUAACAAUUUUCUGGUUUUCAAGCCUGGUUUAGUUUUAUCGUCCUUACCAUAAAUAAACCAGAUAGCGAGUAAUGUAAGUACUAUGAAAGACCAAAAAUACUUAAAAGUUGUUAUUGUGGGAGUGGGAGUUUUGAAAAAAGAGAAGCCGAUUUCGCCUUCAGUUAGCGGGAAUUGCUUCCUUUGA